rnacentral:sRNA from 1 species
GCAGACCCGCCGCCAUGACGCUGCGCGCGGCCGUCUUCGACCUUGACGGGGUGCUGGCGCUGCCAGCGGUGUUCGGCGUCCUCGGCCGCACGGAGGAGGCCCUGGCGCUGCCCAGGACUUCUGAAUGAUGCUUUCCAGAAAGGGGGACCAGAGGGUGCCACUACCCGGCUUAUGAGAGGAGAGAUCACACUUUCCCAGUGGAUACCACUCAUGGAAGAAAACUGCAGGAAGUGCUCCGAGACCGCUAAAGUCUGCCUCCCCAAGAAUUUCUCCGUAAAAGAAAUCUUUGACAAGGCGAUUUCAGCCAGAAAGAUCAACCGCCCCAUGCUCCAGGCAGCUCUCAUGCUCAGGAAGAAAGGAUUCACAACUGCCAUCCUCACCAACACCUGGCUGGACGACCGUGCUGAGAGAGAUGGCCUGGCCCAGCUGAUGUGUGAGCUGAAGAUGCACUUUGACUUCCUGAUAGAGUCGUGUCAGGUGGGAAUGGUCAAACCUGAACCUCAGAUCUACAAGUUUCUGCUGGACACCCUGAAGGCCAGCCCCAGUGAGGUCGUUUUUUUGGAUGACAUCGGGGCUAAUCUG